rnacentral:rRNA from 1 species
UAAGGAAUAUUGGACAAUGGUCGCAAGACUGAUCCAGCCAUGCCGCGUGCAGGAUGACGGCCCUAUGGGUUGUAAACUGCUUUUGUACGGGAAAAAACCUCUUUACGUGUAAAGAGCUGAUUGUACUGUAAGAAUAAGGAUCGGCUAACUCCGUGCCAGCAGCCGCGGUAAUACGUAGGGUGCGAGCGUUAAUCGGAAUUACUGGGCGUAAAGCGUGCGCAGGCGGUUUUGUAAGUCAGAUGUGAAAUCCCCGGGCUUAACCUGGGAACUGCGUUUGAAACUACAAGGCUAGAGUGUAGCAGAGGGGGGUGGAAUUCCACGUGUAGCAGUGAAAUGCGUAGAUAUGCGGAGGAACACCGAUGGCGAAGGCAAUCCCCUGGACCUGUACUGACGCUCAUGCACGAAAGCGUGGGGAGCAAACAGG